CCGCCAUUAAACAUCAUAAGAAGAACAAGAAGCUGCUGUGUUUGUACUGUAGAGCCUCAUCUAUCUUUUAAUAAUGCAGUCAGCAGAAGAGGGACACGUCACCCCCAUAGAUCUACAAAAUGAAGGAUUCCAAGAGAAACUAAUAAAAAAGGAGGAGGAAGAAGAUGGAAGUUACUUCUGUGAAGGAUCUUUAAUCCCUGUGGAACACGUCACCUCUGAGGAACACCUCACCCCAG